rnacentral:rRNA from 1 species
AGAUUGAACGCUGGCGGAAUGCUUUACACAUGCAAGUCGAGCGGCAGCGCGGGGCAACUGGCGGCGAGCGGCGAACGGGUGAGUAACACAUCGGAACGUACCCUGUUGUGGGGGAUAGCCCGGCGAAAGCCGGAUUAAUACCGCAUAAGACCUGAGGGUGAAAGCGGGGGACCGCAAGGCCUCGCGCGACAGGAGCGGCCGAUGGCGGAUUAGCUAGUUGGUGGGGUAAAGGCUCACCAAGGCGACGAUCCGUAGCUGGUCUGAGAGGAUGAUCAGCCACACUGGAACUGAGACACGGUCCAGACUCCUACGGGAGGCAGCAGUGGGGAAUUUUGGACAAUGGGGGCAACCCUGAUCCAGCCAUUCCGCGUGAGUGAAGAAGGCCUUCGGGUUGUAAAGCUCUUUCGGCAGGAACGAAACGGUGGGCUCUAACAUAGUCUGCUAAUGACGGUACCUGAAGAAGAAGCACCGGCUAACUACGUGCCAGCAGCCGCGGUAAUACGUAGGGUGCGAGCGUUCAUCGGAAUUACUGGG